rnacentral:lncRNA from 1 species
UUUAUAAACUUUCAUUUUCUUUAUUUUUUUGUUCAUGAUCAUUAUUUUAAAACAACAUAUUAUGAUAUGAAUAUAUUAUAUUUUAGAAUUUUAGAUUUAUAAAAACUCAAAUAUCAAUACAUUACAAUAUAAGUCAAUAAAAUUAAUCAUAAAAAUACACAUAUUCUCUUGUUUUAGUGUUUAAAAAAUAUAUUUAAUUUUUCUAAAUGGUCUAAAAUAAGUAAUUCAAUCUACCAAUGAUGAUUUGGUGUAAUAAACCUAGUCACCUUGAGUAGGCUACUAUGUUAAACAAAUACAUUAGGUAGCUAAGUAAUAUGGAAAUGAAUAUGUCAUUUUGAAUCAAUGACAUGCAUUUGGAGUGUUUUAACCCAUCCUGUAACGUUCAAAGCAAACUUAACUCUUUUCCCAUGUAUCCAUCUAAUAGGUUUCACGUUUCAAAUAAAAGUAGUUCUAUGUUAUUUUCACAUUUUUUUUUGUUUUCAUAACUUUAACCCAUCUUUGUCUUUAUAAACUUUCAUUUUCUUAAUUUUUUAGUUCAUGAUCAUUAUUUUAAUACAACAUAUUAUGAUAUGAAUAUAUUAUAUUUUAGAAUGUUAGAUUUAUAAAAACUCAAAUAUCAAUACAUUACAAUUUAAGUCAAUAAAAUUAAUCAUAAAAAUACACAUAUUCUCUUGUUUUAGUGUUUAAAACAUAAGUUCAUUUUUAAAAAUGGUCUAAAAUAAGUAAUUCAAUCUACCAAUGAUGAUUUGGUGUAAUAAACCUAGUCACCUUGAGAAGGCUACUAUGUUAAACAAAUACAUUAGGUAGCUAAGUAAUAUGGAAAUGAAUAUGUCAUUUUGAAUCAAUGACAUGCAUUUGGAGUGUUUUAACCCAUCCUGUAAUGUUCAAAGCAAACUUAGCUCUUUUCCCAUGUAUCCAUCUAAUAAGUUUCACGUAUCAAAUAAAAGUAGUUCUAUGUUAUUUUCACAUUUUUUUUUUGUUUUCAUAACUUUAACCCAUCUUUGUCUUUAUAAGCAUUCAUUUUCUUUAUUUUUUUGUUCAUGAUCAUUAUUUUAAAACAACAUAUUAUGAUAUGAAUAUAUUAUAUAUUAGAAUUUUAGAUUUAUAAAAAUUCAAAUAUCAAUACAUUACAAUUUAAGUCAAUAAAAUUAAUCAUAAAAAUACACAAAUUCUCUUGUUUUAGUGUUCAAAACAUAUAUUUAUUUUUUCAAAAUGGUCUAAAAUAAGUAAUUCAAUCUACCAAUGAUGAUUUGGUGUAAUAAACCUAGUCACCUUGAGAAGGCUACUAUGUUAAACAAAUAC